AAACCAACCGGGAUUGCCUUAGUAACGGCGAGUGAAGCGGCAAAAGCUCAAAUUUGAAAUCUGGUACCUUCGGUGCCCGAGUUGUAAUUUGGAGAGGGCAACUUUGGGGCCGUUCCUUGUCUAUGUUCCUUGGAACAGGACGUCAUAGAGGGUGAGAAUCCCGUGUGGCGAGGAGUGCGGUUCUUUGUAAAGUGCCUUCGAAAAGUCGAGUUGUUUGGGAAUGCAGCUCUAAGUGGGUGGUAAAUUCCAUCUAAAGCUAAAUAUUGGCGAGAGACCGAUAGCGAACAAGUACAGUGAUGGAAAGAUGAAAAGAACUUUGAAAAGAGAGUGAAAAAGUACGUGAAAUUGUUGAAAGGGAAGGGCAUUUGAUCAGACAUGGUGUUUUGUGCCCUCUGCUCCUUGUGGGUAGGGGAAUCUCGCAUUUCACUGGGCCAGCAUCAGUUUUGGUGGCAGGAUAAAUCCAUAGGAAUGUAGCUUGCCUCGGUAAGUAUUAUAGCCUGUGGGAAUACUGCCAGCUGGGACUGAGGACUGCGACGUAAGUCAAGGAUGCUGGCAUAAUGGUUAUAUGCCGC
rnacentral:rRNA from 1 species